CCUCUGCAGGCUGGCUGGCUCCAGGCUGGGCUGGGCGAGUAUCUCUUCAAAAGGCUCAUCCUAAGCAUGACUAGGAGC
rnacentral:pre_miRNA from 1 species